AUUGAACGCUGGCGGCAGGCCUAACACAUGCAAGUCGAACGAGUGGCGGACGGGUGAGUAAUGUCUGGGAAACUGCCUGAUGGAGGGGGAAAACUACUGGAAAAGGUAGCUAAUACCGCAUACCAUCGGAUGUGCCCAGAGGGGAUGAGCUAGUGGGGGGGGUAAAGGCUCACCAAGGCGACGAUCCCUAGCUGGUCUGAGAGGAUGACCAGCCACACUGGAACUGAGACACGGUCCAGACUCCUACGGGAGGCAGCAGUGGGGAAUAUUGGACAAUGGGUGCAAGCCUGAUGCAGCCAUGCCGCGUGUAUGAAGAAGGCCUUCGGGUUGUAAAGUACUUUCGGCGGGGAAGCGUUACCCGCAGAAGAAGCACCGGCUAACUCCGUGCCAGCAGCCGCGGUAAUAC
rnacentral:rRNA from 1 species